rnacentral:rRNA from 1 species
GGAGGCAGCAGUGGGGAAUAUUGGACAAUGGGGGAAAGCCUGAUCCAGCCAUGCCGCGUGAGUGAUGAAGGCCUUAGGGUUGUAAAGCUCUUUCGCCGGGGAAGAUAAUGACGGUACCCGGAAAAGAAGCCUCGGCUAACUCCGUGCCAGCAGCCGCGGUAAGACGGAGGAGGCUAGCGUUAUUCGGAAUUACUGGGCGUAAAGCGUGCGCAGGUUGUGAGUUUAGUUGGAUGUGAAAGCCCGGGGCUUAACCUCGGAUGUGCAUCCAAUACUGGCUCGCUGGAGGUUGGAAGAGGAGAGUGGAAUUCCCAGUGUAGAGGUGAAAUUCGUAGAUAUUGGGAAGAACACCAGUGGCGAAGGCGGCUCUCUGGUCCAUACCUGACACUCAUGCRCGAAAGCGUGGGGAGCAAACAGGAUUAGAUACCCUG